rnacentral:rRNA from 1 species
AGCUGAUCCUCUUCGGAGGUGACGCUUGUGGAACGAGCGGCGGACGGGUGAGUAACACGUGGGCAACCUGCCUGUAAGACUGGGAUAACCCCGGGAAACCGGGGCUAAUACCGGAUAAUACUUUUCAUCACCUGAUGAGAAGUUGAAAGGUGGCUUUUAGCUACCACUUACAGAUGGGCCCGCGGCGCAUUAGCUAGUUGGUGAGGUAACGGCUCACCAAGGCAACGAUGCGUAGCCGACCUGAGAGGGUGAUCGGCCACACUGGGACUGAGACACGGCCCAGACUCCUACGGGAGGCAGCAGUAGGGAAUCUUCCGCAAUGGACGAAAGUCUGACGGAGCAACGCCGCGUGAGUGAUGAAGGUUUUCGGAUCGUAAAGCUCUGUUGUUAGGGAAGAACAAGUGCCGUUCGAAUAGGGCGGCACCUUGACGGUACCUAACCAGAAAGCCCCGGCUAACUACGUGCCAGCAGCCGCGGUAAUACGUAGGGGGCAAGCGUUGUCCGGAAUUAUUGGGCGUAAAGCGCGCGCAGGCGGUCCUUUAAGUCUGAUGUGAAAGCCCACGGCUCAACCGUGGAGGGUCAUUGGAAACUGGAGGACUUGAGUACAGAAGAGGAGAGUGGAAUUCCACGUGUAGCGGUGAAAUGCGUAGAGAUGUGGAGGAACACCAGUGGCGAAG